ACACUUUCAUGAUAAAGUAACUUGAUGUAUUUGAGGUAUUUAAUACGCGUAUUUCAUUGAUGUCAUUUGCACCACGACCGGCUGCUGUUCGUCAAUGUUUUACCACCGCUGUAUAGUGAUGCUUGACUACAAAGUACAGAGAUGACAUAGAAGCAUGACUCCGAGCUCUUACAUGUAGGAAAAAUACAGGUAACCGUCGAAUUAGGCAAAGUCCGUUGCAGCGCUGGAGGAAACUUAGCGCCCACAUACAACGCCCGCUGCUGCACUCGCGCUUGCAAUGUCACACCUCGCGCAUCGCGCAACCUCACCGGCUCCGAUCAAAGCAGCGAACCUGGCUACCCAUGGCGCGCAAAUGGGUUGAAUCCCUGUACACAUCUGCACGCCCCUCCAAACGUUAUGCCAAACAACGAAAUCUGCCUACACACCACGCAUUGCCCGUUUGCUACAAAGCACGUCGUCCUUUGAUUAUCCCGCGCCAACAUGAGUACGACUGCGGCAGUGGGCACGCGCGUCACCUCACCAAAAAACAUGGCAUCGCGUAUGUAACAUCAUGCUUUUAAAUGUUUCCUUUGGCUCCCGCUCAUCCCUAUCAUGAUUGCCUGUCGGUGGCCAGGUGGUCUUGGGGGGGAUGUGCGGGGUCGUGGGGCUGCCGCCCCACUUCCCCGCACUUUCCCCUCUCUCCUGCCCCUUGUUCUUGGAAAGCUUUAGGCGAAAGUUUUUAUCGGCUGGCAUUAGCAAGCAUGUGGGCUGUGUGCCUUUUCCAAUGAUUGAAACGGUUUGUUUUCUUGCAUUGGUCGUACAGUGCAAAUUGCCCACACAUUGCUAGUUGUUGCAACAGUAAAGUAUAAGCAAUUGACGAAGUGUAAGGAGAAUGUCAGUCUGGAGAAUUAAGCAUCUAAAUUUGUGAUUACAGUCGAGGUGAGCCGUUAGUCCCCCCCAUUUAAACUGGGCAGGUUGCAGGUUGUCCGCCGUCACCAGCAUGUCGUUGGCAGUGUGCACCGCACUGUUGCCUCUGCCACCGCUGCUGCCGUCGGGCAUGUUAGACUUAGCGCUGUCAGCACUAUCACCGGAGCAGCGGUGGACUUCCCGACUUUCCGCCGCCGCCACUGCUGCUGCUGUCGGGUUGGCAGGCCGUCAUUGACCGGGGCUGUGGCAUGUGCAGGGACUGCCGUUGACUGCGGGUGUUGCGAUGGAAGGGGUGGUGUUGGGGUCGCCGGGGGUGGGGUAGCCACUGGGGUCGGCAGCAUGGCGGGCGGUGUAGAGCCGCCGAUGGGGUCACUGCCGCUGGGGCAGCAGUGUUUUUUUUUUGCGGAAUAUAUUCCGAAUUCGGAAUAAAAAAUGUUCGCGGUCCUGGAAAUUAAGAAUAAAUAAUGUUCCGACCGUACAAGUUCAUUCCUCCAGCCAAAUAGGGGGGUCCUUGUGAAGCAGCUGCCCGCGUUUCCAAAGCCCGUAUGGUGUUGGAUUGUAAGUUGCCCAAGUACGUUUGCGAGGAAGAGAAUGUGGCCAGGCUGGAGAGGAAAGUGCAGUGGCAUAUUGGAAUGUGAGAUUAGCGUAAGCGAGUUACAGGGCGUUUUUAUUUAUUGCACGGGCGAAUUUACGUGCAAAUCUUUNNNNNNNNNNNNNNNNNNNNNNNNNNNNNNNNNNNNNNNNNNNNNNNNNNACUUUUUCGGUCGCUCGAGCGUCGCAGGAGCAGUGGCGACGCACUUUGUGGAGUGAUGCACGUCCAUGGAGUCCAGGAAUUAACUUUGCGCGAGCAGCCACUCUGUAUGGCCAAGUAGCAAUCCAAUUUUCAUUCUUCGUAAAGAAUCGGGAGAGUAACGCUACAGGAGCGUCCAUACAAUAAUAGGACAAGGGGCUCCGCUCGUCAAAGUAGACUUUGACGUGGUGGCGUUAGUAGAACCAAAACUAACUCCAGAAAAGCUUUACGAAAUUCAUCAAGAAUACGGUGAACCCAAAGAUAAGAACAAGCGGAACCUUGCGGAACCGAACUCAAUCGAUCAACGCAGCGAUCACUCAUGAAAACACCAAGAGAUGCAAUGGAGGCUCACUCUAGGAACCAGGAUUCCAAGGACAAAGAGGUUCGGCAGGUCAACUCGUCGGGUCAAGUCAAGUCGCAUGUCGCACGAAGUGCAUUUUCCACAGGACAACGUAUUACAAGUGACCGAUUAUCUCCGACGCUGUCACAUUGACAUGCGCCGCACGGUGGUGGCCUGGUGGGGCUGCGGGACCUCCGCGGGACCCCCGCGGUGGGUGGUGGGGGAGCCACCCUGCGGCAGCAUCACUCCUGGGCCUGCCCCGUGGCCCUGGGCACGGUGGGCCAAGUUCAAUUGCAGAUGGUUGCUCGGGUGAGCCGAGCAAAGCUCUGGCUGAUGCAAGCGCCACCCCCUUAGAGGGCUGUGUGUAGGUUGUGGUAGUGUGUCCUGAGGUGCCUGUGUAGGCGACUUUCCCCGAGUCCUGCUUUAUAAUUUUCUGGUGCAGUUGUGAUGCGUCGCUGUUGCCCCCUGUUUGGUAGUGGUGUCCCGCUGGGUGUCUGCAUUUUUGGGUGUUCUGCUGGCGGGCUGUAGCUACUGUUCACUUUCGGGCAUUGUGAUGCGGGGAUGCAUUGCACCGACCUUGCACGGGGUCCACUGUAACCUUCAUUCAUUCAGUGUAUGUGAAGAAAUGCAUGAAUUCUCGGUCUUAGAGGGGAUUGCGUUAUGUGUGUAGUGUAGGGUGUGCAGGAUUUCACACGCAGCGCAAGUCGCGCGCCUGCCAGGGAUUCACACGGCAGCCCCGGCCCAUCAUCAGCCUAUGACAGCUGCCGCCACUUCAAGGCGAUUUGCUUUGUGUGCUCGUGAGGCAGGGAGCUCUGUCCAGCUGCCGCUGCUUCUGAUGGGGUGUUACACUGUGGGCGGCUCGUCCCGAGAGAGGACAAGCACCGGGGGCUAUGACCGGGCCGAAACACAGGGGCGGGCGGGCGCGUGGCUCUACGUCCGUCUGUUCCGCCGCGCUCGCCUCACCCCCUCACUCACGCCAACCGGGGCGCUGUCCCAGCCCCUGGCUAGGCAACACAGCGGACACAGAAGACUGCGAACCGAACUAAGCGAGAGGCUCACGAGAGGCGCCACACUUCUGCCUUCUGUGAUUGCGCUAAACAUGUACCCGUUUGGUACCUGCUGAGGCUUUGCUGCUUGACCAUCCACGCUCUUCUCGCACGUUGGUUUGUGACCUUCACAGCUGCUCCUCUAUCUGUUACCGCAAUCGUGCUCGCUGCCAUCGGAGCGGUUACCUUUCGCUAGUACCCAUACUUGCGUGAAACACUCUUAUAUCAACCGAGUCUAAUACAAUGACCAGCAGUGAAUUUGACAAAGUGUCCUGCUCUCAUCCAAAGUCAGACCUGUGCCUAAACGCGAACGUAAAGGCACAAUUCUUUGUCAAUAUGUUCUUCGUUAAACGUCUUACUUAUAACACUCGAAAAAAAUUGCGAAUACUUUAGUUUUUGGUGCUUAUGUGAGCUCGAAUGGGCUGGGGACCGGAAGGCACAUAAAUUAGGUCCCUCGCCGGUCCCACGGUCGUACAUUCCGGGUCCCCUGGCCCUAGAUAUGCCCUACAUACAGCAGUCACGAAUGAGUGCCCCAAUUUUUGGUUGGCUAGUGACACUUAAAAUUUAUAUGAGGAACACUUUCAUGAUAAAGUAACUUGAUGUAUUUGAGGUAUUUAAUACGCGUAUUUCAUUGAUGUCAUUUGCACCACGACCGGCUGCUGUUCGUCAAUGUUUUACCACCGCUGUAUAGUGAUGCUUGACUACAAAGUACAGAGAUGACAUAGAAGCAUGACUCCGAGCUCUUACAUGUAGGAAAAAUACAGGUAACCGUCGAAUUAGGCAAAGUCCGUUGCAGCGCUGGAGGAAACUUAGCGCCCACAUACAACGCCCGCUGCUGCACUCGCGCUUGCAAUGUCACACCUCGCGCAUCGCGCAACCUCACCGGCUCCGAUCAAAGCAGCGAACCUGGCUACCCAUGGCGCGCAAAUGGGUUGAAUCCCUGUACACAUCUGCACGCCCCUCCAAACGUUAUGCCAAACAACGAAAUCUGCCUACACACCACGCAUUGCCCGUUUGCUACAAAGCACGUCGUCCUUUGAUUAUCCCGCGCCAACAUGAGUACGACUGCGGCAGUGGGCACGCGCGUCACCUCACCAAAAAACAUGGCAUCGCGUAUGUAACAUCAUGCUUUUAAAUGUUUCCUUUGGCUCCCGCUCAUCCCUAUCAUGAUUGCCUGUCGGUGGCCAGGUGGUCUUGGGGGGGAUGUGCGGGGUCGUGGGGCUGCCGCCCCACUUCCCCGCACUUUCCCCUCUCUCCUGCCCCUUGUUCUUGGAAAGCUUUAGGCGAAAGUUUUUAUCGGCUGGCAUUAGCAAGCAUGUGGGCUGUGUGCCUUUUCCAAUGAUUGAAACGGUUUGUUUUCUUGCAUUGGUCGUACAGUGCAAAUUGCCCACACAUUGCUAGUUGUUGCAACAGUAAAGUAUAAGCAAUUGACGAAGUGUAAGGAGAAUGUCAGUCUGGAGAAUUAAGCAUCUAAAUUUGUGAUUACAGUCGAGGUGAGCCGUUAGUCCCCCCCAUUUAAACUGGGCAGGUUGCAGGUUGUCCGCCGUCACCAGCAUGUCGUUGGCAGUGUGCACCGCACUGUUGCCUCUGCCACCGCUGCUGCCGUCGGGCAUGUUAGACUUAGCGCUGUCAGCACUAUCACCGGAGCAGCGGUGGACUUCCCGACUUUCCGCCGCCGCCACUGCUGCUGCUGUCGGGUUGGCAGGCCGUCAUUGACCGGGGCUGUGGCAUGUGCAGGGACUGCCGUUGACUGCGGGUGUUGCGAUGGAAGGGGUGGUGUUGGGGUCGCCGGGGGUGGGGUAGCCACUGGGGUCGGCAGCAUGGCGGGCGGUGUAGAGCCGCCGAUGGGGUCACUGCCGCUGGGGCAGCAGUGUUUUUUUUUUGCGGAAUAUAUUCCGAAUUCGGAAUAAAAAAUGUUCGCGGUCCUGGAAAUUAAGAAUAAAUAAUGUUCCGACCGUACAAGUUCAUUCCUCCAGCCAAAUAGGGGGGUCCUUGUGAAGCAGCUGCCCGCGUUUCCAAAGCCCGUAUGGUGUUGGAUUGUAAGUUGCCCAAGUACGUUUGCGAGGAAGAGAAUGUGGCCAGGCUGGAGAGGAAAGUGCAGUGGCAUAUUGGAAUGUGAGAUUAGCGUAAGCGAGUUACAGGGCGUUUUUAUUUAUUGCACGGGCGAAUUUACGUGCAAAUCUUUCACCGUAGCAUCAGUCCUCAGUUCACUUCUUGGAACGAACAUCAGCAUAGGUCCAAGCCCUCUCGCUUGGAGGGAUAUGCAAACAAACAUCCUGAUAGGGGUAAACUCGCACGCUACCGAGCAUUCAACCGAGCACAUGCAUGCUUAGUUGAAUGGUGAGAUGCGACCCCCCCUUCAUUUCGUGCUCGGCAAGCCUGCCACCGCGUACCGGAUAUGUUGGCGAUGUNNN
rnacentral:lncRNA from 1 species